AGCAGUGUUCAAGGAGAAGGGUAGGAACGAGGCACCGGCGACCGGAGGCCGUGGGCAGACCAGCUAAUGGCUUCCUCCCAGGGUCCCCACUGGGCCUCCUCCUGACACGGGUGUGUUUGUCAGAGGGUCGCCGUAACUCUCCGGAAUGGUCUGAUACACGGAAUUUCAGAUGUAUAUGAGCUCUCAGCCACCACCCCAGCCUGUCCACGGCCGUGCCUCCCACCAUGAUGACCACGGACCCACCUUCUGAAACUGCAGUGUCUCAUUAUGUGGCCCAGGGUGACCUGUAACUCCUUAUAUAGGCCAGGCUGGCCUUCAGUUUGCCACGCAAGUCUCCUGCCUCAGCCUCCCAAGUGCUGGGGUAACUGGUGUGCUCUGCAUGCCCUGCAUGUUGAUGUCUCCACAUAGGGUGUCUCUGUGGGACCCACUAUGGCCUCAUCCCCAGGUACCCCCUACCGGGAAAAGCAUGGCCACUUCCCAAGGUAGGUGUGAAGGUCCAUCAUCAUGGUCAUCUUAAUUGGAUUUAGAGGCACCAAAAGGUGUGUCUGUGAGGACAUUUCCAGAGAGGUUUAAGUGAGGAAGAAAGACUCUCCUUGAAUGUGGACAAUGAUGUCCUGGGAACUGGGGUCCCUGACUGAGUAAAAAGGAGAAGUGAGCUGAGCACCAGCGUUCAUCUCUCUCUGCUUCCUGACUGUGGAUGCCAUGUGACCAGUCACUUCCUGACUGUGGAUGCCAUGUGACCAGUCACUU